GUCAAACAGGGUGAGGUGACUUGCCCAGGGUCACACACCUGUGCCAACAAGGUCUCUGGGCAAGGCUGGCAACACAGGACUGAAGCAGGCCAGGAAGUGCCAGGUGGGUCCUGGCGUCCUGCGGCUCCUCGUCUCCCAGCUCCUCCACUGCCUGCCUCCUGAUGCUCUUCACCCACCCAGCCCAGGACAGUCCGGCUGUUUCCUCGGGUUUUUAUCUGCCCCAACAAGAAUGGGUUGGGCUCACCUGGACAGAAAUAAGACAGAGAUAAAGUGACUUGUCCAGGGUCACACAGCAACAGCUCCAGGACUGGUUCCAUCUGGUUCUGCAUUCACACCCAGGCUGGGUGAAUGAAUGAGAAUAAAUGAGGAAGACUGCAGGUGAGCCUGCCUUUG
rnacentral:lncRNA from 1 species